CACACCGCCCGUCACACCAUGGGAGUGGGCUUCACCAGAAGCAGGUAGUCUAACCGUAAGGAGGGCGCUUGCCACGGUGAGGUUCAUGACUGGGGUG
rnacentral:rRNA from 1 species